AUUGAACGCUGGCGGCAGGCCUAACACCUGCAAGUCGAACGGUAACAGGAAGACGCUUGCUUCUUUGCUGACGAGUGGCGGACGGGUGAGUAAUGACUGGGAAACUGCCUGAUGGAGGGGGAUAACUACUGGAAACGGUAGCUAAUACCGCAUAACCUCGCAAGACCAAAGAGGUGGACCUUCGGGCCUCUUGCCAUCGGAUGUGCCCAGAUGGGAUUAGCUAGUAGGUGGGGUAACGGCUCACCUAGGCGACGAUCCCUAGCUGGUCUGCGAGGAUGACCAGCCACACUGGAACUGAGACACGGUCCAGACUCCUACGGGAGGCAGCAGUGGGGAAUAUUGAACAAUGGGCGCAAGCCUGAUGCAGCCAUGCCGCGUGUAUGAAGAAGGCCUUCGGGUUGUAAAGUACUUUCAGCGGGGAGGAAGGGAGUAAAGUUAAUACCUCUGCUCAUUGACGUUACCCGCAGAAGAAGCACCGGCUAACUCCGUG
rnacentral:rRNA from 1 species